rnacentral:rRNA from 1 species
UCUUGGUCAUUUAGAGGAAGUAAAAGUCGUAACAAGGUCUCCGUUGGUGAACCAGCGGAGGGAUCAUUACCGAGUUUACAACUCCCAAACCCAAUGUGAACGUUACCAAACUGUUGCCUCGGCGGGAUCUCUGCCCCGGGUGCGUCGCAGCCCCGGACCAAGGCGCCCGCCGGAGGACCAACCAAAACUCUUUUGUAUACCCCCUCGCGGGUUUUUUAUAUCUGAGCCAUCUCGGCGCCUCUCGUAGGCGUUUCGAAAAUGAAUCAAAACUUUCAACAACGGAUCUCUUGGUUCUGGCAUCGAUGAAGAACGCAGCGAAAUGCGAUAAGUAAUGUGAAUUGCAGAAUUCAGUGAAUCAUCGAAUCUUUGAACGCACAUUGCGCCCGCCAGUAUUCUGGCGGGCAUGCCUGUCCGAGCGUCAUUUCAACCCUCGAACCCCUCCGGGGGGUCGGCGUUGGGGAUCGGCCCUUUACGGGGCCGGCCCCGAAAUACAGUGGCGGUCUCGCCGCAGCCUCUCCUGCGCAGUAGUUUGCACACUCGCAUCGGGAGCGCGGCGCGUCCAUUGCCGUAAAACACCCAACUUUCUGAAAUGUUGACCUCGGAUCAGGUAGGAAUACCCGCUGAACUUAAGCAUAUCAAUAA